rnacentral:rRNA from 1 species
AUGUCCGAUGGAUAUGGAAGUCUUGCAUCCUGCCUAAACAAAAAAAAACUUUGGCUUCUGCUACAUGACAGAUUAAAUAACAGAGAUCUCCUUCUUAAGAAAAGUUUUAAUAUAGAAACAUGCAAAUGUGUACUUUGUGAAGAUGAACUCAAGGAACACAUCAUGCAUCUCUUCUUUAGCUGUGAUUUCAGCCAAAAUUUCUGGCUAUCCAUCCGCUUUGAGUGGAAUAUUGAUUAUGAAAUCAUUGAUAUGCUAACGGAAGGCAAGAGAAGAAACAGAAGCACAUGUUUCAAAGAAUGCCUAAUUGUUGGCUGCUGGAGCUUAUGGAAGCACAGAAAUGAGAUCAUUUUUGACAAACAAGCCAAAGACAUGAACUAAUGUAUUGCAUGUUUCAAAGAACACUUUGGUACCAUCAUUAGAAAGGCAAAACCAAGAUGGAAGGAGGGAAUGCAGUCAUGGCUAGAUUACUUGUAG